CUACCGGCAUUUCGGUGACGCGGUCUCAGCUCCAUUGUUUCGAGCAUGGUUCUCUAGAUAAAAGGAGGAACAUCGACCUUGUUCUUUCACUUAGACUUGAAUCGUAGCAUGGAGCAGUUUAGUUUAAUUGUAGUUUGGACGAGUCGCAGAAAUCCAGUUAUGCCAUGGAAAUGGCUCUGUUGAAUCUCGAAUAUGGAUUUGAUGCUGGUCUGCUGCAUUCAGUUUUCUCUUGAAUUUCUGGCCUUAGUGUAGCUGUGCCUUGAACAAAUGUUUGCUGUUCUCCAUGUGGUACCUGGAAGGGGAUUGGCUUUUGUUUUAUACAAGGACUUGCAUGGUGGACUGCCGCCCAGGUUCGUUUGGUUCGUACUACUGUUGAUGUUCAAAUUUGCUUUUCUUCCGGAUGUUCCUGGGUAGGUUGAUUUCUCGUGAUGGAUUUACUUCCGUUGGGAUUUCUACUGCAGAGAACUUAUCACGGUGCUGUCAUUUGGACGGUAGGAGGUAUUUACUGACAUUUCCCUGCUUUAUCCAUGCUCUCUUGUGAAAAUGUGCUGUACUCCCUGUGGCUUGUCUACAUCUUAGUGCAGGUCUCUGCGAGCCAUAUGAUCCAGAAGCUGCGGUAUAUAAAAGAAGACCUUGUCGUCAAACUACUGACUGAAGGUAGUUGUACAACAUAACUCAGGCAAUGUGUAUAGAUGAUGAUAACGAGUUACCGUUUGAUUGUGAUGAAAAUCUUUUUUUGGCUGCUUAUACCUGAUGAUGCUUUCCGCAGAUAAUCUGCAGAGUUUUAGGGGUGAAACUAAUUUUCUUUGUAUUUGCAGUGAGGUGUCCUUGCAUUUGUUUGGAGCUGAUUCGUGACUUAAAGCAAUCUUUGGUAUAUUGUGAUCCGAUAUAGCAGUUUUCAAUAAAAAUUGGUUUAUCAAA